rnacentral:rRNA from 1 species
UACGGGACGGCAGACGGGAGAGUAUCCGNUGGGAAAGGACACUUCAGUACGGAACAACCCAGGGAAACUUGGGCUAAUACCGUUUACGUCCGUAAGGAGAAAGAUUUAUCGCUGAGGGAUCGGCCCGCGUCUGAUUAGCUAGUUGGUGGGGUAACGGCCCACCAAGGCGACGAUCAGUAGCUGGUCUGAGAGGAUGAUCAGCCUCACUGGGACUGAGACACGGCCCAGACUCCUACGGGAGGCAGCAGUGGG